UUGAUGCCUUGAUCUUCAUGAUGUCUAGAUAUUGCUAAUUGCUCCUUGAUUAUUGCUUGAUUCAAAGUCCAAAGGGAAAGUGGGUUUUCUAUAUGACAUUCUUGUCUAUUGGAUUGCAUCCCAAUGGUCAGAUCUUUUCAACUCUUAACUUUUAAUUUUUGUACUUAGGAUAGCCUCUUCAUCUUCUCCCACUUCUUAAAU
rnacentral:lncRNA from 1 species